AAGAUUAGAAUUUAGAGAUCAUCUCGAUAAGUGGUUCUCAACCCUGGCUACCUAUUAAUACCAAUCUUGGAAACUUAAAAUUCAAAAAAAAACAACAACAACUGGAUGCCUCAGCUGCACCUCAAGAGAGUUAAAUCAGGGUCCAACUGGGUCCCAGUCACAAGCAUUAAAAAAAGAAAAUGCUUCCUGGAUGAUUCCAAUACCCAGCCAAGAAUGAGACUCACUGAUCUAGAUCUUGCCUGAAAAGAUCUGAUUUUAUUGAGAGUCAGUGAUUUACCCAAGACUACAAUGCUCAAGAACUAAGACAAGAAUUCCAAUUUCCUGAGUCCCCAUCCAAGGCUCUCUACUUUACAAAUCUGUCAAAAAAUGUGCCUGACCCUCUCUAAUACUCCACAAACCCCACAAGAUAGCAAAGAACCUUCCCCACUCCUUUUUUUAAUAGCACCAACUAAGCACUGGCCCAAUGCCAGAGGAAGAGAGAGGUAGAAAUAGCGUUAGAUGAGGAAGCUUCUCCAGAGUGUUGUCAGAAGGAAGGACAGAUUCCAUAUGAGUGACUGAAGAACAAGGACUUUGGCGGCAGAGAUAUGGAGCACGUGGGCGGAUCCAAGCACGCUGGACGGAGGAGGACGCUGGCGGCAGAGAUAUGGAGCACAUGGGCAGGUCGAAGCACGGCUGGAUGGAAUCAAACCACUUUAGCUGACUUCACAGGGAGUAACUGUUGUAGUGACAAAGGUUGAAGGAAUAAAUUUAUUUGAUUUAUAAAAAUAAUUUUUAAAUUUAAUUUAUUAUAAAUAAACACUGCACUAUUGUUUUAC
rnacentral:lncRNA from 1 species